UGGGGAAUAUUGCACAAUGGGCGCAAGCCUGAUGCAGCCAUGCCGCGUGUAUGAAGAAGGCAUUCGGGUUGUAAAGUACUUUCAGCGGGGAGGAAGGGAGUAAAGUUAAUACCUUUGCUCAUUGACGUUACCCGCAGAAGAAGCACCGGCUAACUCCGUGCCAGCAGCCGCGGUAAUACGGAGGGUGCAAGCGUUAAUCGGAAUUACUGGGCGUAAAGCGCACGCAGGCGGUUUGUUAAGUCAGAUGUGAAAUCCCCGGGCUCAACCUGGGAACUGCAUCUGAUACUGGCAAGCUUGAGUCUCGUAGAGGGGGGUAGAAUUCCAGGUGUAGCGGUGAAAUGCGUAGAGAUCUGGAGGAAUACCGGUGGCGAAGGCGGCCCCCUGGACGAAGACUGACGCUCAGGUGCGAAAGCGUGGGGAGCAAACAGG
rnacentral:rRNA from 1 species